GUCUACAGCCAUGCCACCCUGAACAAACCAGAUCCCAUCUGAUGUUGGAAGCUAAGCAGGGUUGGGCCUGGUUAGUACUUGGAUGGGAGGUUACCUAGAAAGACCAGGUGCUGUAGGAG
rnacentral:rRNA from 1 species